UAAAGGGAGCGUAGGCGGUCGGUAAGUCUGCGGUAAAUGUCAUGGCCAAACCUUGGCCUGCCGUGGAUACUGUCCGACUGAAUGUGCACAAGGAAGGUGGAAUUCGUCGUGUAGCGGUGAAAUGCUUAGAUAUGACGAAGAACUCCGAUUGCGAAGGCAGCCUUCUGGAGCAUGAUUGACGCUGAGGCUCGAAAGUGCGGGUAUCAAACAGGAUUAGAUACCCUGGUAGUCCGCACCGUAAACGAUGGAUGCUCGUCAUUCGCGGCAUACUGUGAGUGACCAAGCGAAAGCAUUAAGCAUCCCACCUGGGGAGUACGCCGGCAACGGUGAAACUCAAAGGAAUUGACGGGGGCCCGCACAAGCGGAGGAACAUGUGGUUUAAUUCGAUGAUACGCGAGGAACCUUACCCGGGCUUGAACUGCCGAUGCCGGAUGCAGAGAUGCGUCUUUCCUUCGGGACAUCGGUGGAGGUGCUGCAUGGUUGUCGUCAGCUCGUGCCGUGAGGUGUCGGCUUAAGUGCCAUAACGAGCGCAACCCUUGCCUUCAGUUGCCAUCAGGUCAUGCUGGGCACUCUGUAGGGACUGCCAUCGCAAGAUGCGAGGAAGGUGGGGAUGACGUCAAAUCAGCACGGCCCUUACGUCCGGGGCUACACACGUGUUACAAUGGGGGGUACAGCAUGCAGCUUGCCGGUGACGGCUGGCCAAUCAGUAAAACCCUUCUCAGUUCGGACUGGAGUCUGCAACCCGACUCCACGAAGCUGGAUCCGCUAGUAAUCGCGCAUCAGCCAUGGCGCGGUGAAUACGUUCCCGGGCCUUGUACACACCGCCCGUCAAGCCAUGAAAGCCGGGGGCGCCUGAAGUCCGUUACCGCGAGGAUCGGCCUAGGGCGAAACUGGUGAUUGGGGCUAAGUCGUAACAAGGUAACCA
rnacentral:rRNA from 1 species